rnacentral:rRNA from 1 species
CAAUAGCGUAUAUUAAAGUUGUUGCAGUUAAAAAGCUCGUAGUUGGAUUUCUGGUGGGAGCGAUCGGUCUGGCGCUUAGCGCGAGUACUUGCAUCGUCUCCGGCCAUCCUUGGGGAGUGUCUGUCUGGCAUUAGGUUGUCGGGCAGAGGAUCCUCAUCGUUUACUGUGAAAAAAUUAGAGUGUUCAAAGCAGGCUUAUGCCGUUGAAUAUAUUAGCAUGGAAUAAUAAGAUAGGACUUUGGUACUAUUUUGUUGGUUUGUGCACCAAAGUAAUGAUUAAUAGGGACAGUUGGGGGUAUUCGUAUUCCGUUGUCAGAGGUGAAAUUCUUGGAUUUACGGAAGACGAACUACUGCGAAAGCAUUUACCAAGGAUGUUUUCAUUAA